rnacentral:rRNA from 1 species
AUGCCGAUCCACCUCCUACUGCAAUGCAUCCACCUCCGGCUACGGCGCUGGCUGCCUCGCCCAGAGCUCCUCCGUCGUUCACCUCCGCCCUCUGCCUCAGCGGCGCUGGUGCUGUCGAGUGCGGCUCGGCAUGCAGUGAGGUUCAUCCUGUGUAUUGUUGAAGCUGAUCCAAAGCAACAAAAGCAGCGAGCGGGCAUAUGUAUGCAGGCUGUUGCGGGUUGCCGCAUAUUCCUUCAAGUAUUGUACUGA